rnacentral:rRNA from 1 species
GACGAACGCUGGCGGCGUGCUUAACACAUGCAAGUCGAACGCUGAAGCUCAGCUUGCUGGGUGGAUGAGUGGCGAACGGGUGAGUAACACGUGAGUAACCUGCCCUCUUCUUUGGGAUAACGCCCGGAAACGGGUGCUAAUACUGGAUAUUCACUGAUUCUCGCAUGGGGGUUGGUGGAAAGGUUUUUUCUGGUGGGGGAUGGGCUCGCGGCCUAUCAGCUUGUUGGUGGGGUGAUGGCCUACCAAGGCUUUGACGGGUAGCCGGCCUGAGAGGGUGACCGGUCACAUUGGGACUGAGAUACGGCCCAGACUCCUACGGGAGGCAGCAGUGGGGAAUAUUGCACAAUGGGCGAAAGCCUGAUGCAGCGACGCCGCGUGAGGGAGGGAGGCCUUCGGGUUGUAAACCUCUUUCGCUCAUGGUCAAGCCGCAGCUUGGGGUUGUGGUGAGGGUAGUGGGUAAAGAAGCGCCGGCUAACUACGUG